CUCAUAAACAGCGGGCGCCGCGCAAAUGCUGCUCAACUGCAAACAUGCUACGCGCGCUGAUAGUCGCCGCGCUUCUUGCGAUACUGCUAGCCACAGCGCUGGCCCAGCAGGAUGGCAAAGCCCGCUUCUGCCGGCUGUGCUGCAGAUCCAGCAAGGUGGCCUGUACUCAGUUGUGCCUGCCAUGCCCGAAGCCAGGGAAAUGACCGUCCGUCGAAGGCAUCAAAUUUUAUCGCCCAGAAGACGCAAAAAGCACGUGCUUAAACGACACCAGCUGUCCGAAGGGCCAGAAGUGCUGCUGGGCCGGCUGCGUUAACGAGUGCAUUCAGGUGUUACUGCGCAAGUGCAGACCCGGCCAAAAGUGCGAGCGCACUGUUCUCAACCGCCUGAUCCCCCUGUCCUCAGCCGUUAUCCAGGUGUGAUGAUGCCCGUUCGGUCCCCAUCGUGAAGCCCAGAGCUGGUUAGUGCCCGUUCGUCAACUCGGCCGCCUCCAUCUGUCUAGUGGGGGCGCAGGGCAAUUUGCCAGAGUGACGCCAGCUAUCCAAAGAGUGAGCGGUGUUGUCAGACGGGCUGCACGUGCAACAGCAGUCCUGUGUGUCGGCGCAAGUAGCGGACCCGGACAGAAAUGCAUACGCGAGGCAAC